rnacentral:lncRNA from 1 species
GAUGAAUCUGUCAAGUCAAGGAAAACGUACGUAGCAGCAAGGAUGGUGCAUCGCCUAUUUCUCGUUCUCGCUCGGGAGCCAAAACGAACACGCCUGCUACCUACUGUACUGGACCUUCGACCAGGCAUUCGACCUUUGUCGAAUCGGAACCAAGCAUUGCGCUCGAACAGUUGAGCGGCCGCCGGCCAGCAACUUCCGUA